rnacentral:rRNA from 2 species
UUGUAUAAUGGGUCAGCGACUUAUAUUCUGUAGCAAGGUUAACCGUAUAGGGGAGCCGUAGGGAAACCGAGUCUUAACCGGGCGUUAAGUUGCAGGGUAUAGACCCGAAACCCGGUGAUCUAGCCAUGGGCAGGUUGAAGGUUGGGUAACACUAACUGGAGGACCGAACCGACUAAUGUUGAAAAAUUAGCGGAUGACCUGUGGCUGGGGGUGAAAGGCCAAUCAAACCGGGAGAUAGCUGGUUCUCCCCGAAAGCUAUUUAGGUAGCGCCUCGUGAAUUCAUCUCCGGGGGUAGAGCACUGUUUCGGCUAGGGGGCCAUCCCGGCUUACCAACCCGAUGCAAACUGCGAAUACCGGAGAAUGUUAUCACGGGAGACACACGGCGGGUGCUAACGUCCGUCGUGAAGAGGGAAACAACCCAGACCGCCAGCUAAGGUCCCAAAGUCAUGGUUAAGUGGGAAACGAUGUGGGAAGGCCCAGACAGCCAGGAUGUUGGCUUAGAAGCAGCCAUCAUUUAAAGAAAGCGUAAUAGCUCACUGGUCGAGUCGGCCUGCGCGGAAGAUGUAACGGGGCUAAACCAU